rnacentral:rRNA from 1 species
UCCACGCCGUAAACGAUGAUCACUCGCUGUGUGCGAUAUAUUGUACGUGACUGAGCGAAAGCAUUAAAGUGAUCCACCUGGGGGAGUACGUCGGCAAACGAUGAAACUCAAAGGAAUUGACGGGGGCCCGCACAAGCGGAGGAACAUGUGGUUUAAUUCGAUGAUACGCGAGGAACCUUACCUGGGCUUAAAUGUAGCGUGACUUUUCUGGAAACAGAAAUUUCCCUUCGGGC